UACGAAGGGGGCUAGCGUUGCUCGGAAUCACUGGGCGUAAAGGGUGCGUAGGCGGGUCUUUAAGUCAGAGGUGAAAUCCUGGAGCUCAACUCCAGAACUGCCUUUGAUACUGAAAGUCUUGAGUAUGGGAGAGGUGAGUGGAACUGCGAGUGUAGAGGUGAAAUUCGUAGAUAUUCGCAAGAACACCAGUGGCGAAGGCGGCUCACUGGCCCGGUACUGACGCUGAGGUGCGAAAGCGUGGGGAGCAAACAGG
rnacentral:rRNA from 1 species